rnacentral:rRNA from 1 species
UACGUAGGGUGCAAGCAUUAGUCGGAAUUAUUGGGCGUAAAGGGCGCGUAGGCGGAUUGAUAAGUCAGAUGUGAAAUACCAAGGCUCAACCUUGGUGCUGCAUUUGAAACUAUUUUUCUAGAGGAUUGACGGAGAAAGGGGAAUUCCACGUGUAGCAGUGAAAUGCGUAGAGAUGUGGAGGAACACCGAUGGCGAAGGCAGCCCCCUGGGUCAAGAUUGACGCUCAUGCACGAAAGCGUGGGGAGCAAACAGG